CUGCUCCCUCCCCCGCUGAGCCCGGCUGGUCGCUGCGCUCUCGGUUCCCGCGGGCUUUCCUGGCGACGGCCUCCCCCCUUCUGUCCUGGGGUCUUGCUCCUCUCCCUCUUCUUUUCUYCACGUCUCUCCUCUCCCUCUUCGUUUCUUUACGCCUCUCCCCCUCCUGCUUUCCGCCUGUUCCGGGAGCCGAGCCCGGUCGCCUGGCUGCGCCGUGCAGCCGAGCGAGGCCCCCAGGUCCCUGUGGAACUGCGCUCCCCCUGCCUCCAACUCCCUCCAUCAUCCGACGUGUUCUUUUCUUCACUGCUCAUUUCUUUCUUCCCUGAAAUAGGAGGCAGCUAGUCCCUUCUCCAUUCUCCUUGUUUUCAGUCUGUACUGUUUCUCCCUUUCGCCACCCCACCCCACUCCUUGGUUUCCCCCUUGUCCCCGCCCUCCCACCUUCUCCCUAAAMUCAGCCCGAUGGAACAGUGAGAGGGCGAAGAUAAAAAUGGCAAAUGUCAGUGUCAACACUGUUAUUGUUUUUGGUUGCUGAAACGGAAGAUGAACUGGAAUGCCCAAAUCAACUCAGACCCAGGACCAAGAUUGAGUUCUUAAAAUUGCAAACUUCAAAAUUGAUCCUUGCAGAAGUUAGAAGUCUGAGUCUGAACUUCUUCCCCUGUGAAGUGAGGCUGACCUGGCCCUGACUACACUCAGGAUUAUGAGGAUCAAAUGAGGUAAUGUUUAUCUGAAGGGCUUGGGAAAGUAGCAAAAAAUGCUAUUGUUAUGCAAAGCAUUUUUUUU
rnacentral:lncRNA from 1 species